rnacentral:lncRNA from 1 species
AGAUCAUGCAGGACCCUGAAGAUAACAGAAAGGGCUCUUCAUUCUGUUAUUUUCAGUAAGAUGGAAGAGAAUUUGGGGGUUAAAGGUGAGGACUGGCAUGGCCUAAAGUGUGUUUUAAUAGGAUCACUGUGACUUCUGUGCUAAAAGCAGACUGCAAGGGACAGAAGCUGAAGCAGGAGAGGCUGGUUCCUGAUUUUUAUUCUAUGAGCUCAGGAUGAUGAACCUGAUCCUAAAAUCUGAGACACAUGUCUUAAAAUUGGGGCUAUCUCAGAAAAUAGAGCUGACACAUUGAAUUUGUGAACAGAGAAGGGGAGGAGGAGAUAGGUGGAGAAAACUGCUUCUUAGGAGUGAUUACAGCCACAGAGGGACUUGAAGAGACAUCCUUGG